GUGUGGUGGUUUCAUUCGUAUCUCCCGUGGUUCGAUUAUACAGUUAUUUAGGCAGGAACGUGUCGGCUUUAUCACUGGAUGCCGAGGCCUAGCCCAGAAUCUGGCACGCAGUAGGGGUUCAGUGAUUUUUUGUUUGUUCGUUUGUUUUUUUGUGAAUUGACUGAGUGAGCGAGCACCCUUUACAGAGAAGCCGGCUUGGUUCCCCCGGGCCGGUGGGCUGGUGACCUGGGGGGGCCCACCCUGCCCCCCUACAUGCCCAUAUAUGGACACGAUCAGCACAGCGCUGGCCGCCGUCUGUGAGGUCCAGGCCCCCCGCGACCUCACAAUGCCCAGGGCCCGCCUUGUGUCUAUAAGAGGCCGAGGGGUCAGCCCCCCGGCUCACAGCCCACGAAGUUCCACCUGCUCACAGGUUGGCUGGCUCAACCAAGGUGGUCCCCCUGCUCUGAGCAUCCGGGCCGGAUCCAUCCAGCGCCAUGGCCAGAUACCGAUGCUGCCGCAGCCAAAGCCGGAGCAGAUGCCGCCGCCGGAGACGCAGAUGCCGCAGACGAAGGAGGCGAUGUUGUCGGAGGCGGAGAAGGAGAGUGUGCUGCCGCCGCUACACCGUGGUGCGCUGUAGGAGAAGAUGAAUGAACGCCCAGACUCGCCAGCCCACCGCACUCCGCUGCGCAACCACCAGCCAAGACCCCCCUGCCGCCUCCUGAACAUGCCACCCGCUCGAUGAAGUGAACAGGAGCCUGCUAAUGAACAAUGCCGCCUGUCAAUAAAUGAUGAAAAAAUCACCCUUCUCGUCUGUUUGCCUUGACGGGGCUCGGGGUGGUGGGAGGGCUCUCGGGGAAGAGGGCACACGAGUGCCCGUGGUCACUGCAUCACUGGAUCUUGUUCCACUCUCUGCUCCGCUCUGGUCACAACCCGAAUCUGCACCACCACCCAGCACCCCUGAUCCCACCCACCAUCCCUUUGUGACCCUGACCCCGGGGCCUCAGGCCUCUGCACUGUGCUCCAUGGCUUUCUGUGCACGGCUGGAAAUGGGUCACGGAAACUGGCUCUGGGCUGGCUCCCCCCCCCCCCGCCCCCCGACCCUGGGAGAACCAAGGAAAGCAGCAGCUCAAGCUCCAGGUUUAUCUAAAUCCCACUUCUCUGCAAAGUGUCCACCUAGGUUUCUGCCCCUGCGUGGUCCUCUAGCAGCCCUGGAGGCCUGAGCACUGCUACGGUGCCUUGCCCAGGAGUGGAGCUGAACACACCUCCCCAGCUGAGAAAACGAGGUGACUUGUCCGUCUCCUCUGCCCCUCAGCCAUGGAGGUGGUUCACGAGACUCUUGGAAACUUGGAGCUAAGUAGACCUCAGAGCACGUCAAUUAUAAUCAUCACAUGGUGGCAGAGAGAGCCCAGGGCAACUCAUGCGUGACUGGGAACUCCGUGACCCGGUACCCCAAAGUGACAGGGCUACUUAGCACUUCUCAUUUAAGCACUUCUCAUUUAUUGAGCACCAUGCGGUCAUCACCUCCAGGCCUCGUGCUGACCUUGAGAGACAGGUAUACAUGAUCCUGUCUUUUCAGCGCCUUGAGGCUAGACCUGCAUUCCCUGACUCACGGCCCUUGUGGGACCACACUGGCCCCACCCAGAAUAAUCCAGGAUGAUCUUCCCAUCGCACAUCCAGAAAGUCCCCUUGCACCUCAGGAAUUUUCACAGGGA